GCCAACGGCCAUACCAUGUUGGAUACACCGGUUCUCGACCGAUCACCGAAGUUAGGCAACACGGGCGUGGUCAGUACCUGGAUGGGUGACCGCCUGAGGACUGUUGGCACUUUAGGGC
rnacentral:rRNA from 1 species